AAGACUACGUUCACCAGCAAUACAUGGUUUGAGUUACCUAUGUAUGCGGGAGAAUGGAACACAGAAGAUUUUGGCUUUGAAGUUGCGUUGUCAGGGGGCCUUCAAAGGGACCGACAACUGGGCAGAACGUGCUAUUAGAUCCUGGUAGACAUGAAAAGACCGUGAAAUAUAGUGACAGAUUCCAGCAUCCUUUUCGCGUUGCGAGUAGGAUUUAUAUUUUUAAAUAGUGCUUAAAAGUAACAAAAACCGCUAUGUCGCGCAGCCUAGCGGAAGAGCCUUGAAGCUGGAUUAUGAAGUCGGUCACUUUUCUGCACGUAUACGUAGUCUGAUGCUGUCAUGCACGCCAUAAUUGGUCCUCAGAGUUAGAGUAUGCAUAUUAUUAUCUAUCCCCGCUCAGUUCUGUGCUGCCUACGAAGUAAAAGGAGCCGCCAGUGGCCCAUGUCCAGCCGUGGCGCAUGCGCGCGGAGUGCACGCAUGCGCAGUAAAGCGUCGCGCUCGAACACAAACCGCUCUCGCAUUCACUGUUUGCAGCAUGUGUUGUCAAGUGUGUUUAAGAGUUCAUAUUCGCCGCAGAUAGAAAAAUUCUGAUUAAAAAUGUUUCACGGCGUUUUCCACGUUACCAUUCCAUGGCUAGACAAUCUGACCAGUUAGCUUUCCGUUGCUCUAAAGAAGAUAGGUGCCCUAAAAAUUGGUUGUCAGUCCCUUUAAGUGGCACAAUCAAUCAGUGCACAGGCCUUGUUGAGAAAACAAAUGUAUUUGCUCGUUUCAGCAUUCUGCACAUCACAAAAGUGGCUGGCUGUAAACAUCUGCAGCCCCACCGCUGUGGGGCAUUCGUUGUUCUCCAGUGAAACCCUAUUACACUACUACGUAUGGUCGCUGUCGCUGAACAGCCAUGUGCAUAAAAAUUAAUGUUAAAGAUUUGCUAAAAACUGCACAUAACGAGCUGCUGCCCAACAUCAACAUGCACUAUGUGCCCAAGCAUGCUGCUGUUGUCAAAUUUAACACAAAACAUGGUUUUAAUUCAUGACCUUGAGAAAUAGUUGGAAUGCCUGUUCUGAUUAUGGACUGAAAUGUUGCUAAUCUUGGAAGUUAAUUGUUCUUGGACACCUUGCACACUUGGUUCAGUGAAUAUGCUUGGUCAAUAUGAAAGUUUUGGAGUCUGAACAUGCAGUCUGAAUAAUGUCUUUAAUUAGAGACACCAGAGCAGAUUUUCACAUUGUACUUUUUAUUGGCAUUUCACGAGCAACACACUAGGAUGACUAAAGGACGUAACACUUCCGGACGGGAAUUACAUGUUCAAGAAUUGUUUUGAAAUGUACAAGGAAGAUAUUGGCAUUCUCCUUGCGCCAUCAGCUCUUCAACAUCUGCGAGCUGCAAAGGCUCUCCUGUAUGACAAGGAAGCAGUAGACGCGGCAUUCGCAAUGCUCAUUUUAUGUGCUUCCAAGGGAUGCGGCCAAAGGACGACCUGCAGAUGUGCGAGUCACGUUUAUGGGAGCUGCAAAAAAGAAUUAAAGUGUAUCCCCAGUG